UUUUUUUUGCAACAGCCUUCAGAAACAAACAGGCACCUUUGCCAACAGUCGGUUGAAUGGGGACAUCGUGGAGCCUCUGCAGUACCACAGUCGAGUUUGCUUUCCCACCUGCAGUGCAUGAGCCACCCUCCAUCAUGCUAGGAAGGCAAGUGCUCACCCUGCCUCUCAGACCCUAGGGCAAACCCCUUGGUUUUCUUUUCAUGUUGUAGUUUCUGAGCCGAGCACACAGAAACCAUGACUAGGCUGAGGGAUACAAGGCUGAAACUCUCUAUGACCCUGGAAUUACCCAUUCUGGGCCCCAUUAUCUUAUGGUCAAUAUGAGGCCUCAAUGGAGAAAGUUGGGGUGAUUUCACCCCAACCCCACCUGCAGGCUCCUCUCUUCUCAGUUUCCCAGCAGAACUCGCUGUAGCAUGAGGCUGCUCCAGGGUCUAAAUGCACAGGAAGAAGCCCUGCCCCACUCUCCCUGCUCAAGAUGGGUGGUGGAGGGUCAAUUCUGAGGGCUUUGGUAGAUAAAAGGCUUGUAAAGGAGGGAAGGGGCUAGAGUGAGGUGUCAUGACCACUCCAGUGGCAGAGGAAAUAGAAAGGCCUGUGAAGAGGUGAGGUUUAUUAGAAAAUAAAGUAUAGCAGGGAAUUCCGAAUGAAAGGGAAUCAGGGCCUUUGGCUUCCUAGCUCCAGGCCGCCUCAUAAACAUAUAAUAGCCAAUCUCAAACAGUGCCCACCUCGCUCACCUCGCAGUGCAGGCUGUGUGUCCCUGGCAGCCUCUUAGGGCUCCUCCUUCCUAAUGUGAACUGAGCUAACUUGCCCUCUUAUUGAUCCCUGCCAAAGUCAUUUCCUCCUCAGAAUCCACAUGUGCUGCUGAUCUGUUUAUCAUCCCUUCUAGAAGAUUUUGUACUAAACAAGAAGUAAGCUUUCUUAAAAUAGGAGAUUUAAUUCUAGCCAAAAGAUUUUAUUAGUAACUUUCUGUUACAAGGCAAAUAAACCGAGAUUUGAAAAUACUCUAUUAUCCUACCAUUUAACGAUGACCCCUACUUAGCAUGUGAUAUUUGUUCUUCCGCUCUUCCUUUUCAACACCAUGUGUGUGCACCAUGGAGUUCACUGCUGCUCAUGCUCACACUGACUCCAGCACAGAGACAGUCUGUCAUGGGGAGCAGUGAGGCGGGGCAAGGGGUGGGCACCGACCCUCUCCAACCCAGCUGUGCAGGAGAUUCCAGCAGGGAAAAUGGGUGCCAGGCUAACACCCAAGUUGAGUCUUGAGAUUUUAUUGGAUGCUAUGUGUUGGGAUUGGUUUCCACUGAAUUUCUAAGACUUGCGGUGAUUAUCUCAU
rnacentral:lncRNA from 1 species